AGAUUCAAGAACCCAGAAAUUUAAGGGAUGAGAAUCUUUUCGUAUCAAUUCGGAAAGAAGCGUCCGAAACAAGCUCAGAGUGGAAAUGCUUCUCAACGCUUGCUCGCAAUAAGAAUAAUUUUA